GAUGAACGCUGGCGGCGUGCCUAAUACAUGCAAGUCGAGCGAACAGACGAGGAGCUUGCUCCUCUGACGUUAGCGGCGGACGGGUGAGUAACACGUGGAUAACCUACCUAUAAGACUGGGAUAACUUCGGGAAACCGGAGCUAAUACCGGAUAAUAUAUUGAACCGCAUGGUUCAAUAGUGAAAGACGGUUUUGCUGUCACUUAUAGAUGGAUCCGCGCCGCAUUAGCUAGUUGGUAAGGUAACGGCUUACCAAGGCAACGAUGCGUAGCCGACCUGAGAGGGUGAUAGGCCACACUGGAACUGAGACACGGUCCAGACUCCUACGGGAGGCAGCAGUAGGGAAUCUUCCGAAAUGGGCGAAAGCCUGACGGAGCAACGCCGCGUGAGUGAUGAAGGUCUUAGGAUCGUAAAACUCUGUUAUUAGGGAAGAACAAAUGUGUAAGUAACUAUGCACGUCUUGACGGUACCUAAUCAGAAAGCCACGGCUAACUACGUG
rnacentral:rRNA from 1 species